UACGUAGGGGGCUAGCGUUGUCCGGAAUUAUUGGGCGUAAAGCGCGUGUAGGCGGCUUGGCAAGUCGGGUGUGAAAGCCCUCAGCUCAACUGAGGAGGUGCGCCCGAAACUGCUGAGCUCGAGUACCGGAGAGGGUGGCGGAAUUCCCCAAGUAGAGGUGAAAUUCGUAGAGAUGGGGAGGAACACCGGUGGCGAAGGCGGCCACCUGGACGGUCACUGACGCUGAGACGCGAAAGCGUGGGUAGCAAACAGG
rnacentral:rRNA from 1 species